rnacentral:rRNA from 1 species
AGCUUGACACUGAACAUUGAGCCUUGAUGUGUAGGAUAGGUGGGAGGCUUUGAAGUGUGGACGCCAGUCUGCAUGGAGCCAACCUUGAAAUACCACCCUUUAAUGUUUGAUGUUCUAACGUUGCCCCGUGAUCCGGGGUGCGGACAGUGUCUGGUGGGUAGUUUGACUGGGGCGGUCUCCUCCCAAAGCGUAACGGAGGAGCACGAAGGUUGGCUAAGCAUGGUCGGACAUCAUGCGGUUAGUGCAAAGGCAUAAGCCAGC